rnacentral:snRNA from 1 species
GUGCUUGCUUCAGCAGCACAAACUGGAAUGAUACAGAGAAGAUUAGCAUGGCCCCUGUGCAAGGAUGACACAAGCACAUUUGUGAAGUGUUCCAUAUUUUU